AUCGGAAUUGAGCAUCAAGACCUGCAGUGUGAACGCAGCCUUAGAGGCUCUAAUGUUGGUGGUGUCAGUUACACAGUGGACCUGGAGCCAGCACAACAGAGCCAGCAGUGCACGGGCAGGAAUGCAUUUCUUACUUGGAAAUUCCGACACCACUUCACAUUUAAAUAAGAAAGGGAUGGGUGAAAUUUGACUGUACAAUGCCAUCUCAACAACCAAGCUGCUCUCAGCAUCAAAAGACUCCACCUCCAACCUAAAGAAACAUCUGGAAGGGGAGAGGUUGACUGGCUUUUCCUCAGCAGACCAGACAAACUGCAGACCUGUCUACAAAAGAUGAUGUUUGGAAGAGAUUUAUCUGAUCCCUCUCUGACCCAGAGAAUAUUGAGACCUCCUGGACAUCGUUUCUUGUUGUCAGAGUCAGAGAAGACUGAACACUGGAGCGUCAUUGUGUCUCCUGGUCGGACUGGAUUUGAUUCUAUCAGUAACUGACUGACUGCAAAGUUUGAUGUCCUCUGAGCUUUUCCUGUGUAAUACAAAUCACAUUUUUCCAAACAUGCAUAGAAAAAUUUUCAAAGUUUGUAAAAGUAGGUUGGCUUAUUACCUUUUACUAACAAAUACAUCCCACC